ACAUCUGUACACGUCGGACGGACAGACGAUUUCAAACCACCCCGCCGUCUCUUGAAUCGAGGAAGAAGGGGGAGAGUGCGGAGAGCGUCUUGCUUUGCCCUCGACGACUCCGUCCGAGCUCGAUGGUGAUGCUCCGCGUGGGUGCCCUUGGCCGCGACCUUCCUCCUCCCCUCCGUCCUCUCUGCCGCCGGGCAACCGAUCCCGCCUUCUCUCGAUUCUCUCGUCGUAAAUCGCCAGAUCUUGAUGAGCGUGGAACUACACGUAGCCGUUGAUCGAUUGAGGAAAUCGGGACUGUUGAGGUCCCAGGGGUUUGUCGGCGGCAAGUGGAUCGAUGCCUACGACGGCAUGACCCUUCAGGUGUGGCCAUUGAGGGCGGUCCAUGUGGUAAAUACAGUCAGGGAAUUGGCCAUUACCAAAAAACCAAGAACCAUGUUGGAAUCUGGAAAGAAAAUCUCACGACCAAACUCAUCUUGUUUCUGAUUCUUGAAGGUACAAAAUCCUGCUACUGGUGAUGUUAUCAUUAGUGUUCCAUGCAUGGGCAAGGAUGAGGUACCUGAUGCAAUAUCCUCUGCAUACAGUACAUUUACUAGUAAAAAAUGUUAAAAGAUUUCUUUAAAAUGAUACAAAGAAACAUUGAAGCUGUUUAAUACAUAGGGUUUCUAUUUUCUAAUGCUAGGUUAGACCUUUGAGUUUCUGAUAUUAUCAUGUUUUAUUGUUAAUACAUUUCAGAACAUAUUCUGUAUGCUCUUAUGAUUUGGAAAAUGCGUAUAUACUCUAGGUGAUGUUUAUUGGGCAUUGGUGGUGUUGGCAAAUUUUACCAUAUCAUGACUAUUUGUUUAUGAGGGUGUGUUUUUAGUGCAGAUAUUAGUGCAAGUUGGUUAAUUGCCUGGUGGGUGAAUAUUGACCCAAGCCUUUAGUACAUAUACCCUGCUCUUGUUAUGUCACUGUCAUAAUUAAUUGCUGAUUUAAUAGUGCCUCUCGUUUGUUUGUCCUUAUAGGUUGUCUAAUUCACACACACUGAAGAUGAAUAAUUAUUGUAAAAUCAUAAGUUACAUGGUCUAGCUGCAGGAAAAUGAUCCUCCUUUGGUUUUGGAUACUUAUUUACUCAAAUGUGAGAAGUUGACAUAUCUUCAUGUAGUUGCUUGUUGGAUAAUUUAGACUUUCACCUUCAGAUGAUAACAAAAUGCUAUUAUUUAUGCUUUUUGCUAGUGAAAGAAGGUUGUUUUGACUAUGCAACUAAUUUUGUAGAUUGAGGGCAACCUAACAGGGAGAUGAAUCAGAUUUUUCAAUUAGAAAGUAGAAGUUAACACUGAUUUUGGUCACAACAAAUAGGAUGACAAGAAAUUAAGCAUUAGUGAAUACCUUUGGAUAAACAAGAGAAUAAAAUGAGAUACAUAUAGAGAAAAAAUGUCAGUUAGAUGGGUAAUUGGUUACACUCAGCUUCUUUAUUCCAAGAUCUCCUAUAUCAUUUUUUUUUUCAAAAGGAUAAAAUCAUUUUACUUUUAACAACCUCUUAUGAUAAACCAUGCCCCUUGGAGCACAAAAUACACCAAGACCUGGGGGCCCAAUCUUGCCCCCAUAUCAUUGAAGUUUUAGUAGUUGUAGUAAAAUUUGCUAAUCAGUGAGCACUACAAUUAGCCUCACAAAAUACAUGAAUGAAUUUGUAUUCAGGAAAUUCACCAGAUAGACUUAAAUUAUACAUAAAACAGUUUAAAAGGACCCCAGGGGAUCUGUUCAAAAUUUAUCAGCUUCUUAGCAUUAGAUUUCACUACCAAUCUUGAGAUAUCCAGGCUAAUAGCACACUCCAGUCCCAGCUAUAAUUUUAUAGCCAUUAGCUCAGCUCUCUAGCUGUUUCCCUUGGAAUAUAGGCUCCUCCAGCGAGCAAGAUCUGUAUAUGAAAAUUUUUCCUUUUACCCAUUGUUUUAUCACGUGUAUCAGGGAUUAAAUUCUUGCAUAUUUUCUCCAAUUUUUAAUGAAAAAUUCAUAUGGGGUUUUUUACUUCUACAUAACAGAAGCACUCAACAAAAAAGAAAUAAAAGAAGGCUCCGAGUAGAAAAACAAGUGCCAAAAAGAUGCUAAGAAGAGCGUAUAUUAAGUAAAAUUUAAGAUUUGUUAUCAAUGAGAAAUUGAGGUCACACUAAAAGAAUAAGGGGGAUAUUAAAUGUUUACUCAAGUUAUGUAGGAGUUGAGCUAACGAGCCACAAACUAUGGAAAUUUGAGAGAGUGAUGGAAUGAAAAACCACUCAGUUCAGAUGGCUUGAAAAAUCAGAAUAAACUGAUUGACCCGAUCGAUUUUUGGAUAACCCGCACGAAUUGACUUGGUUAAAUAAAUCGAUCUGGAUUUAUAAUAUAGCAAAAGAUUACUUAAAUAUCCUAGCUGAAACCUUUUCUAUUAUUUGUUUAAGAGAGCAUUUAUAUCAAUCAUGAAAUUAGAGUUGACAUGAGAAAUAAAUUAAAAUCAAUCCAGUUUAGUAUAAUUACCAACAAUAUUUAUGUUUAUAAUGUUGAUUAAUAUUAUCAAAUUUAUUAAUUAUAUAUAUAUUUGAAUUAGUUAUAAUAUUUUAGAUUUUUAUUAUGCAUAAUUUUUACUCGAUAUAUUUUAAAAUAUUUUUUAAUUAAACAUGUGGUCCAGCCAAUUGACCCACCGAUUCGACCAGUGACCUAGGGACUCAAAGCUUGGAUCGAGUUGCUUUCCGAUUUGGUUGUGAUAACUAUGCUUGGAGUUACCGGUAAAGAUAGAAUAUAAAUAUUUAUAAAAUUCUGAAAAAACUUUAAGAUAGUAUGAGCAUGUCCAUGGGGAGUCUAUAUAGCAGUGAGUAGGAUAGACUAAAGAAAUGUUUUGACAACCAUAUGAUUUGUUUUUUUUUAUAUUUUAAAUCAGUGGUUUUAUCCUCAAUUUAGCUAACUGUUUGGAGACGAUCCAUGGGGCUAAUCCCAAAUAGUUGGGAUGUGUAGUGUGCUGUUUGUUUUGUUGUUGUUCCUGUUAAUGCUAGAAAAAGAUAUCCCAAUCUGUUGAUUAGAUUCUUGAGUUUAGAACGAUGUAAUACAUGAUACAAAUUUAAAGAGGCACUAAGUGGCCUUAACUUUUAAGAAAAAUUAGUCAUUAGUGACUCUGAAGAUCAUAGAAGCUAUAUUAUAAUUGACUGCAAUAUUAUUUCUAUGGAUCACUUUUCAGCCAGUUGUGGAUGAAAUGGCCAGUUGACAGAACAUUGCACCUUCUGAGCACUAGGAUUGCUGUUGUGUGGGUUCCUACUACACAUUGCACUAAUCUAGUUGAUCACAUUUGUGCAUGAGUUGACUGCUCAUACCGAAAUUUUGGCAAAUUCCUUAUGAACCAGAUCCAAGUUGUUACUCAAAGCUCUGAUGGUUCAUAAAGGAUAUAAUGCAUAUUCUCAGGUUUGUUUAACUAAGGGUAGUACCUCUCUUUAAUCUUUAUUUACUUAAGGCGUUCAAGUUCAUUAGAAAGUUUCCCAAAUUGUGUUUUCAAUGAUUGUCAUCAAAAUAAAUCUACACGAGAUAAAAAGUACCUGCAAUGGCAAUCCCAUAAUAAUUUAACAGCCUGAAAUUCCCGUUUGUGAAUACCGAGGGAAUGUCUAAGAUAAAGCUUAGAAACUCUUAAAUAUUUCUUUUCUAUGUUAAUCAUUAGUAUUUUGUUUGUUGAAUUUGGUUCGAAGUUAAUAGGUCACUAUUUUAUUGCCACUAAUUUUAGUCCAAAACAGUGGUUUAAGUCAAUGAGGAAUCACAAAGUGAUGUUUAAACUUGAUCAUUAGUUUUUUGUAUAUUUAAUUUGUCAUUAUUGUCUUACCGAGCUCUUCAAGUUUAGUGUCUUCAACUACUUUUUCAUGAUUGAAUACUUUUUGCUCGUAAAGGAUCUUUCAAAUAUCAUUCAGGCCUCCAUGGUUUUUUAAACUCAUAGUAAAUCAAUAGAAACCAAAAUCUUAUAUGAAAUUCAUUGAAUUCUUCUCGUAAUAGAUAGUGAUCUAUGGAGAGUUGAUAUUGACUUCGUGGAUUUAAGGAUUGUAAUUUUU